GAUGAAGAACGUAGCGAAAUGCGAUACGUAAUGUGAAUUGCAGAAUUCAGUGAAUCAUCGAAUCUUUGAACGCACAUUGCGCCUGCCAGCACUCUGGCAGGCAUGCCUGUUCGAGCGUCAUUUCAACCAUCAAGCCCUAGGCUGGCGUUGGAGCCCUGCGGCUGCCGCAGGCCCCUAAAAGCAGUGGCGGGCUCGCUAUCACACCGAGUGCAGUAGAUUACUCUUCGCUCAGGGCGUGUGGCGGGUUCCAGCCGUGAAACCCCCUACUUCUCAAGGUUGACCUCGGAUCAGGUAGGAAUACCCGCUGAACUUAAGCAUAUCAAUAAGCGGAGGA
rnacentral:misc_RNA from 1 species